GGUGAUCUUCCAAAUUGUAAUAGUGAGCCAACUACUUUGAUCACCUUUCAAAGGUAAUUACUCUAGAUUAUAGUAGUUAAAUGAAUAUUUUGCCAUUUCUUUUUCUGCUUUGAUUUGUACCAUUUUUGAAAUUCAGUCUGAACUAUUUCAUCUCGUCUCGUUGUCUUUAUUAGAAUUUUGCUUGCAAAAUUUUCUACAUUACUUGCGAAGGAAUGCGAUCUUUCUACUAUUUAGCGAUGCAAAAAGUUAAAAGUUGGUAAUAUACUGAAUUUUUUUAAAUAAUAAUGAAGUUUACAUUUGUGAGUUUUUCUAAAACUAAGCCCCCGUUUGGUUCUUAUUUUUCAUCUCAAAAAAUCAAUUUUUUGAUAUUUUGACUUCUUCUCUCAUAGAUGGGAUCAACUUUUCUCUUCAAUGAUCAAAAAAUUAAUUCUCAUAAUUACAACCGAACACGCCCUAAAUUACUGAGAGAAAAUCUAUUGAUAAAUAGCUUAGAGACAAUUGGCUUCGUGUCAAGCCGAGCACGACAUGUAAAUAUUUACAUAAUUCAAAACUCUUCAUAAUAUCGACUAUGCCAGACUACUAAUGAUUUUCUUAGGCGGUCAGGACUCCUAAGUUUUUAAAUAUUAUAUAUUUUUGCUUCUUUUUUUUUUCAUAAUUAACUGUAAUUUUAAAAGCAUAAAUAGUUUGACAAAUUUAAUUUAUCAAAGAAAAUAACCACCAAUAAAUAAAUUAAUAAAAAUGUAAAAGUUAAAUACUCUAUUACGAAAAAAAAAUUAGAAAGCUUAAACCGUCUACAAUCCCUGUGAAGGUCUACAGCGGUGACAUUAAUUGUUAUACAGUUAAUGACUCAAUACCACUGGACGAAAAUACAUUGAUAAGUUUGAAUCACCAACAAAUAUUGAUUUCAAUUGAAAUUAUCGAUCUUUGUCCUAUCCUCUAUCACCAAAGGAAUUUUCGUCGGACUCUUAAUUAUUUUCAUUAUUUUUCCUCUACCAUAUAUCCUAAGACACCCAGAUGAUAUUUUUUCUUUACGAAUAUAAUAAAAAAAAAAAGAAAAAAAGGAAAAAAAAGAGGAAACUAUACUCUAUAUUAGUGAUUAACUAUGAGUUAUCCUCACUAUUCUCUUCAUUUUGUGGCCUACCUAAUCCUAGGAUAAAAAAAUAAAAAUCCAGAUGGCAACAAACCCCACAAUCUCUCAAUCAUUUAUAGACAAUACAACCAAAAAAAUAAAAAAUAAAUUGUGUGGCCAAUUCUAACCUAAUCCCACAAGAGAAACAAAAAAAAAUUCAAAUGGAUCCAAAUAGUACAUGUUGAUUGAAUAAACAAAAAGAUUCUCAAACAUAAUUGGAUUGAAUAAUUUUUUGUUUCAAUUUGUUCAGAGUAUUAAUUGUUGGUUCUUCAUAUUUCAUUAGAGCCAAAGAGCUUCAAUCUUGUCUUUGUCUAUUUCCCAACUUAACAUUUCACAUUGCACCAAUGGAUCUAUUGCAUACCACCCCCCCCCCCGCAACGGAACCCGCAGCGGGUGUGCACUGGGUAAACCCUCGAACUGACGUAAUAGCCUGUAAACCACGCCAGCCAAGUAACAUAGCCUCUCUUCAUAUAGACAAACAUUGUUAGAUACUGUUCCUCUACCAUUGAAUUUGACAUAUAUAAUUAUUAACAAAUAAUUAUAGCUAUUAAUUUAAACUAAUCUAGUAGUCUAUAUGUGGAUAAAAAAUAUUAAAUUGAUUUUAUAAAUUUAGUCUAUCACAUUAACUGGAGUUAAGGGCUAGGAUUUUUUGUCAAAUUUAUUAAUCAACAAGGAAUGAUCCCAACAUUAAUGUAGAAGUCUAGUUUAUAUUAAAUUAUACGGCAUUCAAAUUGAUUAAUUUUAAAACUAGAUUAAGAAUUAUAUUUUAAUAAAACAAAUUGUGAUAUAUGAGAAUACGACUUGGCAGAGUCCAAAUCGGACUUCAUUUUGGAGUCUCCACUAAUGCUUUAUAAAUAAUGGGGAUGUGCAUGCCAAUCCCAAG
rnacentral:lncRNA from 1 species